CUACUACUCCCUCUGUCUGAAAAUACUUGUCAUUGAAAUGGAUGUAUCUAGAUGUAUUUUAGUUCUAGACACAUCCAUUUUGAUGAUAAGUAAUUCUGGACGGAGGGAGUAUUAU
rnacentral:pre_miRNA from 1 species